UGUGACUGUUUGGGAUCCUCAUCUUGUACUUGGUACCCAAGGUUUUUGCUGAUUCUCAUGGCAACUGAACCUUGGCAUUAACAUGGCCUUUAAUAUUUUUAUUGAUAUUUUCCAAUUUGCUUGUAAGAUGGCUGCUUGCUACUUUCUCCCUUACCUUGGCAAAUGUGAAGAGUACAUCUCCUUCUCUGGAAGUCAGGGAUUUUGGUUGUCUUCUGAUCCACUGUCAGCUGAAUAUAUAUAUUAGUUCUGGGUUUUUUUCCCUCUGAUUUUAUUAAUUUGAUUAUGGUGUAUCUUCAUGUGGUUUUCUUCAUGUUCCUUCUGCCUGAGUACUUAGAAUGGUUCUUAAAAGUGGAAGCUGGAAACAGAAAAGUCAGUGUCAGGGUGAUGCAGGGUAGAAAAGACUGGACUGAACAUCGCUGGCUUUCAAGCUGAAAGGGACCACCAGCCAAGGAAUGCAGUGAAUUCUGAAUGUAUUUGCUGAAUGCAAAUUUUGUGUCUUCAGUCAAUUUGAAAUGAAAUUAGUAUACGUAUUUUGGAAAUCCUGGGGGAGAAGAUGGGAGAGAGUAAGGAGAAACGCAUC